GAUGAAGAACGCAGCGAAAUGCGAUAAGUAAUGCGAAUUGCAGAAUUCCAGUGAAUCAUCGAGUCUUUGAACGCACAUUGCGCCCCCUGGUAUUCCGGGGGGCAUGCCUGUCCGAGCGUCAUUGCUGCCCUCAAGCACGGCUUGUGUGUUGGGCCCCGUCCUCCGAUCCCGGGGGACGGGCCCGAAAGGCAGCGGCGGCGCCGCGUCCGGUCCUCGAGCGUAUGGGGCUUUGUCACCCGCUCUGUAGGCCCGGCCGGCGCUUGCCGAUCAACCCAAAUUUUUUAUCCAGGUUGACCUCGGAUCAGGUAGGGAUACCCGCUGAACUUAAGCAUAUCAAUAAGCGGAGGA
rnacentral:misc_RNA from 1 species